CAAACUCCAAGAUUCAGAUUGCAGUUAUAUUGGUGUAGCAAAAAACUUGCUAAACCCAAGCACUUUCAAAGAAAUAGUUGUUGAAAGGUAUAACAACUUGUUUAUGUCGCGUAAUUUUUGUUAUUGAGAUUUCCGCCUUAGUGAUGACUCGCAACAAUAACAUAAGAUAAGACGAAUACCAGAAAAAUUCACGUGGAGGAAUCUAAGAUCUGAAUAAAUUCAAGGGCAGAGUAUCUGAGUGUGGAGGUUGGUGCCGCUGGUGAUCAAGCUUAGUAGGCAAUCUAGCUUUGCAGGCAAAACCGCAACAGCAAAUUAGUAAACAGUCUAAUAAAAAACUGGCAAAUAGUUAUGGAAAAACUGGCAAAUAGCAGUGGCAAAACAACAAAAUGUAUAGCAUAGCCUUGCAGAAUGAAGACACACGCAAAGUACCCGUCAUAUUCCGUGACGUCAUAGACUUCCCUCAUAUAAUUCCUGCCAGGCAUGAUACAUCUGCCGCUAACUUACGUCCAGGGCCGCCGAGAGCUUGGCGGGGGCCUGGGGCAAAUUUUUCUUAGGUUCCCCAACUUUUUAGGGAAAAAAUGUUUUCGGACGAGUACGUUGUAAAUGCUUUUGUGGGAAUUUCCCGCAAAUUUUGAUACCAAAUUUCGGUUCUUUGCUCGAAAAACCCCAAAUAUUUCGACCCAAAACGGAAAUAUUUCGCGCAAAUAAAUGAUUGGGACCCAACAGAGAAUUUCUAGGGGCCCCCAGAAGGCCAGGACCUCGGGGCCCGGGGCAAUUUCCUCCCCCUCCUGCCCCCCUCUCGGCGGACCUGCUUAAUACGUCUAUACGUUUAACCACAUGAAAAAAAGGUGUAAAGAGCAAUAAUUAACAAUUAUUCGCCGAAGGCGAGGUGAUUAUCGGUGAAUAAAAACCGAGGCGAGGUCGAGGUUUUUAUUCACGAUAAUCACCGAGCUUGAGGUGAAUAAUUGUUUUAGUAUAAUUUCAUAAGUGAUCAAGGCAUUUUUUUAAUACCAUGAACUGCAUGGUGGGGCAUUUGCCCCACUGGGCCGCUUCCUCUGCCCCACCACUGAAGAAACAAAAUGGCCUAUUGCCCCAAAGCCCCCUAGGACCUGUAUUGAGUAAAUGAGUUUAACAUUGAAAAGAAGUUUAAAAAACAAAAUUUGUUGGUGAGCAUACUGUUUGAAUGUUGAGCAUGCAAUUUAUUACAAAUUUCACCAUUAAAACUUUGUUUUGAGAAGCUGAGAUUUUUUUUAAAUGUGUUCUCAGAAAGCAGGAAAUGCUAUUUCAGAGACCCGAAUUUUAAAAAUUUCCUGGGGGAGGGGGAGCUUCAACCCCCCCUCCCUAGCUAACUCGUGCCUGCGGUACUCUGCUCACACAUUCGGCGAUCGCAUACUAUGCUGGGAGAGGGGCAAGGAAAAUGGGCCCUUUGGGAGUUUUGCCCCACCACUGAAGAAUCCUUAAAAAAUGCACUGUAGGUGAUUAUUUGGAAAAAAAUUAAAAAUACUCAUUUCUUCGUCAUUUAAUUGACAAAACGGUUUCGGCCGCCAUUUUGAAAAUCGCUUAGGUGAUUAUCUAAUAAAUAAUCACCUCAACGGCAACCAAUCAUGGUGGAGAAUUUUCAAUAAUCACCUAUGUAAUUAUGCUAAUCGUGUGUAUAAAUAGAUACAAGAAAAACAUAUUACAAGUGUAAAGUGAUCAACUGUAAAACUAAAUUCAAUUCAACAUUACACAUUCUAUGGCCCACAAGCAGUGGUGUGGCCAGCCCGACAAUUUGGUCAUGCUAUGCAAAUCUUUCCGUGUUUUUAAACCGUGAAAGCAAUCAAUUUCUAAAGAAAUGAAUAAUGAUGAUUUUAAAUUUGCAUAGCAUGCAUGACCAAAUUGUCUGGCUGGCUAUGCCAGUGCCCACAAGUAUUUUUCUCACCUAUGGACUGCAGUACACCGCCAUAUAAACUGAAACAAACUUUGAAUAUACAGUACAAUGACUAUUUACUCUGCUUUAGUGAAAGAAACGGAAUCACAAAUAUGGUCCUGUUGGUUAUAUCACUCUGUUAUACUGUGACUGUUCUUGUGUUGUUUAUCAAAGAGAGACACCAUUAUAAGAACAGUACUGCCAUUCCUUUGGAGCGUUGUGAUCCAUCUCAUACA
rnacentral:lncRNA from 1 species